GUCAGGAUGGCCGGAGCGGUCUCAGGGCGCUGUGUUAAGGUCGCAGUCUCCUCUGGAGGCGUGGGUUCAAAUCCCACUUCUGACA